rnacentral:tRNA from 1 species
GCGCCCGUGGCUCAAUGGAUAGAGCACUAGCCUUCGAAGCUAGGGGUUGGGGGUUCGAGUCCCUCCGGGCGCA